AGCCCAUACCUCUUCUCUCUCUAGGCAUCCUCCCUUGGAGCCAUAAAGAGGGUGGGUGGCAUCAAGGAAGUGGUGUCAAUUAGUUGGCACCACUUGUUUGGUUCCUAUUUUUUUUACUCUCAAAUUUAUUGAGAGUUAGUUACAAUCACUUCUUGAUUGUUGUUCUUCUUGAUUAGUUGAAGAAUCAAGAAAGAAUUUUUGAUUUCUUCAAGAAUAAAGAAAGAAAGAUUAAAAGGGUCAUCAAAGGGGUUCUGUUUCGAUCCAGGUUUGGUUCAAGCCUAUUUAGGCUUUGGUUCAAACAAGCAGGAUUCAAGAGAAAAUAAUCC
rnacentral:lncRNA from 1 species